rnacentral:rRNA from 1 species
UACGAAGGGGGCUAGCGUUGCUCGGAAUGACUGGGCGUAAAGGGCGCGUAGGCGGUUCGUACAGUCAGACGUGAAAUUCCCGGGCUCAACCUGGGGACUGCGUUUGAUACGUGCGGGCUUGAGUUCGGAAGAGGGUCGUGGAAUUUCCAGUGUAGAGGUGAAAUUCGUAGAUAUUGGGAAGAACACCGGUGGCGAAGGCGGCGACCUGGUCCGAUACUGACGCUGAGGCGCGAAGGCCAGGGGAGCAAACGGG